rnacentral:rRNA from 1 species
GUCGGUGACCACAGGCCCGGGGAAACACCUGUUCCCAUCUCGAACACAGCAGUUAAGCCCGGGUCGCCGAUGAUACUGCAUCGCGGGAAAGUAGGUCGUCGCCGGCU